rnacentral:rRNA from 1 species
UACGUAGGGUGCAAGCGUUAAUCGGAAUUACUGGGCGUAAAGCGUGCGCAGGCGGUUUUGUAAGUUUGUCGUGAAAUCCCCGGGCUCAACCUGGGAAUUGCGAUGAAGACUGCAAGGCUAGAAUCUGGCAGAGGGGGGUAGAAUUCCACGUGUGAGCAGUGAAAUGCGUAGAGAUGUGGAGGAACACCGAUGGCGAAGGCAGCCCCUGGGUCAAGAUUGACGCUCAUGCA